rnacentral:lncRNA from 1 species
GCCUGCCCCGCGUUGUUCAAAGAGAAGUAUUGAUUAAACUGCAGCAGAAGCUGCUGUGCAAACACAUCCUGCUGGUGUCCCGGCACACGGGGAAAAUUUGGAAGGGUUAAAUGUGAAGACAGCAACUCUCGGUAGUUGCUAGGAGACGAUGUCCUGCCGGUGGCAUCACGCAUCAGCCCGUGACAGCCUGUUCCACCCGAGCAGUAAUCUGGUGAGUCACCAGUUGUGCUGCAUAUACCAUCACUGGGCACGGAGGAAGCAGCUCCCACCCCAAGAGAAUACAAUACAACAUCAUGCAGUUCUGUCAAGGAGGACAAGGUAAUAUGGAGCUCAAGAGCUACUUCUCCCAUGAGAGCUGCAGAGCCUUCUCCAUCAUUGGUCCUUCUAUAGUCAUUCCACAGUUGACCUACCUGAAGUUUUACUUCAAAAAGUGGAUGGACUGUUGCAACUGAUUCUGCAAAUUAUCUUAUUUCAAAUCAGUCUAUUUAAUCAUGGAUCAAG